UACGAGAGCCUCGAGCGUUAUCCGGAAUCAUUGGGCGUAAAGGGUGCGUAGGUUGUUCUGUUAGUCUUUUGUUAAAUUCUGGGGCUCAACCCUAGAGAAGCAGGAGAUACGGCAGAACUUGAAAGUGCGAGAGGUAUACGGAACUCAUGGUGUAGGGGUGAAAUCCGUUGAUAUCAUGGGGAACACCAAAAGCGAAAGCAGUAUACUGGCGCAUGUUUGACACUUAAGCACGAAAGCGUGGGUAGCGAAU
rnacentral:rRNA from 1 species